UACGAAGGGGGCUAGCGUUGUUCGGAAUUACUGGGCGUAAAGCGCGUGUAGGCGGCUCGGCAAGUCGGGUGUGAAAGCCCUGGGCUUAACCUAGGAAGUGCACUCGAAACUGCCAAGCUUGAGUUCUGGAGAGGAAGGCGGAAUUCUCGGUGUAGAGGUGAAAUUCGUAGAUAUCGAGAGGAACACCGGUGGCGAAGGCGGCCUUCUGGACAGCAACUGACGCUGAGACGCGAAAGCGUGGGGAGCAAACAGG
rnacentral:rRNA from 1 species